rnacentral:rRNA from 1 species
UCGCGCUAACAGAUGAGCCUGCGUUGGAUUAGCUAGUUGGUAGGGUAAAGGCCUACCAAGGCGACGAUCCAUAGCUGGUCUGAGAGGACGAUCAGCCACACUGGGACUGAGACACGGCCCAGACUCCUACGGGAGGCAGCAGUGGGGAAUAUUGGACAAUGGGCGCAAGCCUGAUCCAGCAAUACCGCGUGUGUGAAGAAGGCCUGAGGGUUGUAAAGCACUUUUAAUCGGGAGGAACACCUGUCAGCUAAUACCUGGUAGUAUGACAUUACCGAUAGAAAAAGCACCGGCUAACUCC